rnacentral:rRNA from 1 species
GAGUUUGCUCCUGGCUCAGAGCGAACGCUGGCGGCAGGCUUAACACAUGCAAGUCGAGCGGGCGUAGCAAUACGUCAGCGGCAGACGGGUGAGUAACGCGUGGGAACGUACCUUUUGGUUCGGAACAACACAGGGAAACUUGUGCUAAUACCGGAUAAGCCCUUACGGGGAAAGAUUUAUCGCCGAAAGAUCGGCCCGCGUCUGAUUAGCUAGUUGGUGAGGUAACGGCUCACCAAGGCGACGAUCAGUAGCUGGUCUGAGAGGAUGAUCAGCCACAUUGGGACUGAGACACGGCCCAAACUCCUACGGGAGGCAGCAGUGGGGAAUAUUGGACAAUGGGCGCAAGCCUGAUCCAGCCAUGCCGCGUGAGUGAUGAAGGCCCUAGGGUUGUAAAGCUCUUUUGUGCGGGAAGAUAAUGACGGUACCGCAAGAAUAAGCCCCGGCUAACUUCGUGCCAGCAGCCGCGGUAAUACGAAGGGGGCUAGCGUUGCUCGGAAUCACUGGGCGUAAAGGGUGCGUAGGCGGGUCUUUAAGUCAGGGGUGAAAUCCUGGAGCUCAACUCCAGAACUGCCUUUGAUACUGAGGAUCUUGAGUUCGGGAGAGGUGAGUGGAACUGCGAGUGUAGAGGUGAAAUUCGUAGAUAUUCGCAAGAACACCAGUGGCGAAGGCGGCUCACUGGCCCGAUACUGACGCUGAGGCACGAAAGCGUGGGGAGCAAACAGGAUUAGAUACCCUGGUAGUC